rnacentral:rRNA from 1 species
UACGUAGGGAGCGAGCGUUGUCCGGAUUCAUUGGGCGUAAAGAGCUCGUAGGCGGCUUGGCAAGUCGGGUGUGAAAACUCCAGCUCAACCUGGAGACGCCACCCGAUACUGCCAUGGCUAGAGUCCGGUAGGGGACCACGGAAUUCCUGGUGUAGCGGUGAAAUGCGCAGAAUAUCAGGAGGAACACCGGUGGCGAAGGCGGUGGUCUGGGCCGGUACUGACGCUGAGGAGCGAAAGCGUGGGGAGCGAACAGGAUUGAGAU